CCAAUAGCGUAUAUUAAAGUUGUUGCAGUUAAAAAGCUCGUAGUUGAAUUUCGGGAUCAAUUAAUUGGUCGUGCCUCUGGUACGUACUGAUUUUAUUGGUUUCUCCCUUCUGACGAACCAUGAUGUCAUUAAUUUGGUGUCGUGGAGAAUCAGGACUGUUACUUUGAAAAAAUUAGAGUGUUUAAAGCAAGCUAACGCUUGAAUACAUUAGCAUGGAAUAAUGAAAUAGGACGUUUGAUCCUAUUUUGUUGGUUUCUAGGAUCGACGUAAUGAUUAAUAGGGAUAGUUGGGGGCAUUAGUAUUCAAUUGUCAGAGGUGAAAUUCUUGGAUUUAUUGAAGACUAACUACUGCGAAAGCAUUUGCCAAGGAUGUUUUCAUUAAUCAAGAACGAAAGUUAGGGGAUCGAAGACGAUCAGAUACCGUCGUAGUCUUAACCAUAAACUAUGCCGACUAGGGAUCGGAUGAUGUUAAUUUUUUAAUGACUCAUUCGGCGCCUUACGGGAAACCAAAGUGUUUGGGUC
rnacentral:rRNA from 1 species